rnacentral:rRNA from 1 species
UACGAAGGGGGCUAGCGUUGUUCGGAAUUACUGGGCGUAAAGCGUGCGCAGGCGGUUUCUCAAGUCAGGGGUGAAAGCCCGGAGCUCAACUCCGGAAUUGCCUUUGAAACUGUGAAGCUAGAGUGCGGGAGAGGUGAGUGGAACUGCGAGUGUAGAGGUGAAAUUCGUAGAUAUUCGCAAGAACACCAGUGGCGAAGGCGGCUCACUGGCCCGAUACUGACGCUGAGGCACGAAAGCGUGGGGAGCAAACAGG